GACGAACGCUGGCGGCGUGCUUAACACAUGCAAGUCGAACGGAAAGGCCCUGCUUUUGUGGGGUGCUCGAGUGGCGAACGGGUGAGUAACACGUGAGUAACCUGCCCUUGACUUUGGGAUAACUUCAGGAAACUGGGGCUAAUACCGGAUAGGAGCUCCUGCUGCAUGGUGGGGGUUGGAAAGUUUCGGCGGUUGGGGAUGGACUCGCGGCUUAUCAGCUUGUUGGUGGGGUAGUGGUUUACCAAGGCUUUGACGGGUAGCCGGCCUGAGAGGGUGACCGGCCACAUUGGGACUGAGGUAAGGCCCAGACUCCUACGGGAGGCAGCAGUGGGGAAUAUUGCACUAUGGGCGGAAGCCUGAUGCAGCAACGCCGCGUGCGGGAUGACGGCCUUCGGGUUGUAAGCCGCUUUCGCCUGUGACGAAGCGUGAGUGACGGUAAUGGGUAAAGAAGCACCGGCUAACUACGUG
rnacentral:rRNA from 1 species